AAAGGUUUCAUGAAGACAAGAAGAAGAAGUUCGAGUUAUAAGCGCCAUCGUGUGGAUGUCGGUGGCUCCUGCGACCGCUGAGAGUUCCUCUUCGGUCGGUUGUAUUUCUACAAUCUUUAACAGACAGAAACCCGCUGAGGGAUCAGAAACUCUCUGCGACCUGUGAGGAUGCAGUGAACUCUGGUACACAGGAGGACUGCUGCUGAGGCUCUGUGGGAACUAUGGCAGAGUCUUUCCAGUCUUACUGUUGACUAUAAAU